GCGCGUGCUUACACAUGCAAGUCGAACGGAAAGGCCCGCUUGCGGGUACUCGAGUGGCGAACGGGUGAGUAACACGUGCGUGAUCUGCCCUGGACUCUGGGAUAAGCCUGGGAAACCGGGUCUAAUACCGGAUAUGACCUUACAUCGCAUGGUGUUUGGUGGAAAGCUUUUGCGGUUCAGGAUGGGCCCGCGGCCUAUCAGCUUGUUGGUGGGGUAAUGGCCUACCAAGGCGACGACGGGUAGCCGACCUGAGAGGGUGAUCGGCCACACUGGGACUGAGACACGGCCCAGACUCCUACGGGAGGCAGCAGUGGGGAAUAUUGCACAAUGGGCGCAAGCCUGAUGCAGCGACGCCGCGUGAGGGAUGACGGCCUUCGGGUUGUAAACCUCUUUCACCAGGGACGAAGCGCAAGUGACGGUACCUGGAGAACAAGCACCGGCCAACUACGUGCCCACAGCCGCGGUAAUACGUAGGGUGGGAGCGUCGUCCGGAAUUACUGGGCGUUAAAAGCUC
rnacentral:rRNA from 1 species